GGAAGUAAAAGUUGUAACAAGGUUUCCGUAGGUGAACCUGCGGAAGGAUCAUUAUUGUAUAACCGAGGUGCGAGGGCUGUCGCUGAUCCGAAAGGUCGUGCACGCCCGAGUGCCCUCACACACAUCCAUCUCACCCCUAUGUGCACCACCGCGUGGGUCCCCCUUUGGCUUGUUCGGAGGGGGGCUUACGUUUUCACACAAACUUUGUAUGCAGUGUAGAAUGUAUUUUUUGUUUUUGCGAUCACGCAAUCAAUACAACUUUCAACAACGGAUCUCUUGGCUCUC
rnacentral:misc_RNA from 1 species